rnacentral:rRNA from 1 species
UGCAGAAUCCCGUUAACCAUCGAGUCUUUGAACGCAAGUUGUGCACAAGGCUAUCCUGCCGAGGGCACGCCUGCCUGGGAAUCAUGCCUCGCGUCGCUCCGCACACCCUGCCCCCCUAGAAUAGGGAGGCGGCGGGCGCAGAUGCGGGGAUUGGCCCCCCGUGCACUGAACGCCACCUCCACACCCGGCCCCAGCGGCGCAUGCAAGGAAUCGAUGCCGAGCACCCCUUGGAAAACGACCCCAGGUCAGGCGGGGCCACCCGCUGAGCUUAAGCAUAUCAAUAAGCGGAGGAGAAGAAACUUACCAGGAUUCCCCUAGUAACGGCGAGCGAACCGGGAAGAGCCCAGCUUGGGAAUCGGGCGGCCGCACCGCCCGA